rnacentral:rRNA from 1 species
UACGGGGGGGCAAGCGUUGUUCGGAAUUACUGGGCGUAAAGGGUUCGUAGGUGGCCAACUAAGUCAUACGUGAAAUCCCUCAGCUUAACUGGGGAACUGCGUCUGAUACUGGUUGGCUUGAGUGCAGGAGAGGAACGCGGAAUUCCAGGUGUAGCGGUGAAAUGCGUAGAUAUCUGGAGGAACACCGGUGGCGAAGGCGGCGUUCUGGACUGCAACUGACACUGAGGAACGAAAGCCAGGGGAGCAAACGGG